GACGUAGGGCGCGAGCGUUGUCCGGAUUUAUUGGGCGUAAAGAGCUCGUAGGCGGCUUGUCGCGUCGACUGUGAAAACCCACGGCUUAACUGUGGGCUUGCAGUCGAUACGGGCAGGCUAGAGUUCGGUAGGGGAGACUGGAAUUCCUGGUGUAGCGGUGAAAUGCGCAGAUAUCAGGAAGAACACCCGUGGCGAAGGCGGCUCUCUGGGACGGUACUGACGCUGAGACGCGAAAGCGUGGGGAGCGAACAGG
rnacentral:rRNA from 1 species